rnacentral:lncRNA from 1 species
AGGGUUAAAUAUAUUUAUAUAUGCUGUUUUUCUUAUUAACAAUUUUGAUAUUUUCAAAAUUUAUUUACCAUUAAACAAUUAUUUCAGUAAAUUCAAAUAUUUUACAAAUUGUUUUAUAUUACAACCUUUGGUAAUAUUAUCUGUUCUAUUCUUUUUUGUUUAUUUUGUUUUUACUAAUGCUAACUCAUAUGAGAGAAAAGUGAAAAAUUUUUGCACAAAUAUCUAAAAAAGUCAAGCAUUGAUUUUGGUAUUUAUUUAAUCAAUUAAAACUGUUAAAAGUUGAUUUGGUUUUGUAGUUAUGCUGAGGCUCGUUAAAAUUGCUCUUGAAAUAAUUAAAGCAUACACUUACUGUAUAUUUUCAUACCAGAAGAUUUUCUGUACAUUUAUGAAUGCUCUAAAUCAUAUUUAAUUUCAUCAAAAAAGUGAUUAGUGAAGCAGGAGUUCGGCUUGAUGCUCCCCUUAGAAAUGUAGUACUAUUUUUAGUUUUCAACAUCAAAAAGUCACACUUUCAAAAAAAAAAAAAAAAAAGACUCAAAUGUUAGCAAACUUGCUUAAAUUUUAAAAUUAUUACAUCUUUUUGUGAUAAAAAAUUUUAAAUCUUGUACAGAAUAUUAAUAGCAUCUUUUAAAAGAUUGAAUUCUAAUUAUAUUAAUCAUUAAAUAAAUCAAACUAAUGAUUGCAUAAGUAUCACAUAAAGUAGAUGUAUACAUAUCAAAUAUUAAUAACAAACAUUUGAAGCCUUUCCCGAGACUGUGCCCAGGCCCCGUACGCUAUAGAACUUCAGAAAGUGCACAUUUCAACCUAUCCCUCCCCCUUUUUGAAGUAAAAUGAAGUAUACUCUCGAUAUCUCGAACUCCAAUUUCUCGAAAACCUUAUGUCUAAAAAUACUUUGCCAUUACAUAUCCUCCUAAUGUUAAUUUGAAUUCCUAUGUCGAAGGGUUUCUUCUCAAAACCUUGCUAUGUCGAAUUUUUGUCAAAAUAGAAAAUAAAUUUUUUCACAAAAAUCACAGUUCAUUGCUAUCCAAUUUUCUAUUUAAUGCAUAAUUAUGUCUUACUUUUAAAAAUAAAAUGACCAUUGUUGUAUUUAGACUUACUGUCGACUAUCGUUACAUACAAAUUUAAUAGAAGUUAAUCUUAUGACUCUACUUUUUAAAGUAAUAUUUUAGAAUUUAGUUUUCUAUGUUUUAGAACAUAUUUAGUUCAGAACUUGUUAUCUCAACACUAUCUCGAAAUUUCUUUAUCUUCCCUUCAACUUUAAGAUAUCGAGAGUAUACUGUUGUCACAUACAAAAACAAACAUAGCAUAACUACUUUAAAUAAAAAUUGCAACUUUCUAAGAUAUUUGUUGUUAAAAAAAGCUUUUUCUCCAUAAAAUUAGCUUAAGAUAACUGGCAAUUGAUGAGUUCUCCUUAAGAUAAGCUUAACUUAUAAGUUGCAUAUUUUGGUUUCUUUCAAAAAUAUCAGUAUUAUAAGUUGUGUUUUUAUGUGACCGAAAUGAAUUAUGAGUGCUAUGUAAAAUAUCUUGCUUUAGAAUCACUGAAGCAAAAGGUACUGUAGAAGCUGCAUAGUUUGUCAAGCCAUUGUUGGUUAUGUUGAUUUCAAAAACUUUGUUGUACAUAUAUACAUUUGCCAAAGAUUAUUUAUUAUUUUUUCUAUUAAUCAAUUUUUAUUUAUAUUGUAUGUAUGUUUUGUGAAAAAUGUGUGCGCAUGUUAACCUAGACACACAUAAAACCGUUGAAAAAAUUCAGAUUGUUUAAUAGUAUUAUUAAAUUGAUAGUUAUAUAUAAAGAAAGCUUAAAUUGGUUAAAAGUGAUUGUAGUAAUUAAAUUGAUUUGGGGAAUUUUUAAUUUAAAAAAAAGGAAUAUAUUUUUAAAAGAGUCUAAACUUGUAUUGUUUGUCUUGAUAAGAAGUGUCCAUAAAGUAUAUAGAGCUUCGGAAAGUUCCAAUGUAUCUUUUUUUAUGUUAUUUAUCAAGAAUUGGCAGAAAAGUAAUUAUUAUUAUAAAUUUAUUACAAUACAUUUUAUUGGAAUAUUUUUAUUACCGUUAAUGUGUGAAAUCUGUUUUUUCAUAGAAUAAUUAGGUAUUUCAUGAAAUAAUUCAAUAAGUCAAUUAAAGCAUAUAUAAAAUUAAAGAAUUCAACGAUUUAACUAGGUAUUCUAUAAAAUAACGAUUACUGGAUCGUUGAAGUAUGAAAUACGACACUUACAAAAGAAUACAUUUCUAACUCUUAAGAUUUUGGCCUUAUAUAUUUUUAGUUUAUUAGAAACAUAAACAUAUUUUAGUUCUUUUUCAAAAUUUUAACCUAAUCAUAACUACUUAAUAAAAUACAGUUUCAUCAGGAAAUUUUUCAUUUUUUUUUUUAUAACUUGUAACAUAAAAAUAUCAAGUAUAGCUAUCAUAAUUUAGAAUAUAAAACUUCGAAUAAUUUUAAAAAGGAGGGAAGAAAAAAAAAACAUAUUAAUUUUAAGCUCACUCCAUCCUUAAUGUAAAUUAAAUUUUGUUUUAACUCUCAGUGUAAGUUAUCUCUUAACUAGAUUCAGUUGCUCGGAGUUGUCAUUUGUACAAUAUUUUUGUUUGAAAUUUUCCAUCCUUUCACAUUUUUCUUAUUGUAAACAAACUUUGUUAUAAGUUUUAUUAGGCAGAUAAUCUUUCUAGUUUUGAAAAAAAAAAUGCUCCUGAAUAGAGUUAUUCUCUGCAUUGAAUGCUUGUAUAGGAAGAAAAGAAAUGUCUAUCAAGAAAUUAUCUUUAAGAAUGUUAUCUGCUUUAGACAGCCUUGUUGUAUGUUAAUGACUGUCAAAUAAAAUUUAAAAUUUUUGUCUAA